GGGGCUUUCUUGCACAAAACCACGUCUAGAUUGGCAUGGACGCAAAAAAUGCUUUUAACGGGAAAACUUUUCCGUUAAAAGCAUUUGCGGAAAAUCAUGCCAGUCUAGAUGUAGCCAAUGUGUAAUUCUUAAGUGGUACAUUUAGGACAUAAACUAUCCAGCAUUAGGACAACAUUUAGGGCUUCUAAUUAGAGCUGAUCAAAAAGUUUCAAAAAUUAUUUUAAAAAAAAGACAUUUAAAAAAAACUUUCAGCAAUAGUUCCCUAUUUUUUUUUUCUCUAGCUCUACUUCUAAUGGUCCUGCUCUCCCACAAUGCCUGCGUAAAAGGGUUCAUUAGAGGGGAUCUAAGAGGGCUUGGGAUGAGGAAGGACUCCUUCCUCCACAAGGUAGGGUUUUGGUAGUGGAGCAGCAAAGCUUCCUAUAUAUACCUCCCUGGAAAUUUACACCCGUGGAUCCUGGACAGUGGCUGAUAACAGGUCAGUUCCUGUAUCAUGUCCUCAGAACACAUGCACUGCAGUGAGAAGCAUCGUGCGUAUGGAGGUGAAUACUAUCUCUGUGGUUCACAUAGGCUGAAACCACACAGGUUCCCCAUGAUUAAAGAUUCCUUCACCCAUUUUAAGAGAGUAUCAGUCAAUGGUCCUAAAUUAAUGAAUGUCUUCCAAAUGCUUCAGGAUCCUUGGAUGAGGGACACUAGGGGAUUACAAUUUAAUAUUGUAACUUCUAUUAUGGUAGACCAAGCCCACAGUAAUAAUAAAAAACCACAGGUGUUGGCAGGAAUAAAUGCUGUUCUGAUUGUUCCUCUUAUGAAAUCACACAUUACUUUACUUCACAGUACCAACAAAAAUCUUUUCAAAUAUCCUUUUGCUCUUUUUUGUUUUGUUAAACCUCUGGAUAGGCAUUUGAUAUAAGAUUUGUAGAUACAAAUUAAUGGUCUGAUCUUGCAGCCUUAAAAUCAGGACCAACUCCCAUUGCUGUCAAAGCAUAUCUAAGUAAAUUCAAUUAAUACCAUUGUGGGCUCAGUCCUGCAGUUUUUACACUGCUAAUCCAGUUGGUCACUAGAUCAGCUCCUGAUUAUCUUAGUGAAAGAUGUCUAGUAACAGAUUUAAAAGUAGGAAAAAAUGCUUUAAAUAAAUGGAUUAGGGCAUUUUUUUUCAAAAAAAAAUUAUAGAACAAAAUACAAAUAUACAGAUUACAAUUUAAUGGCAUACAACGUGCACAUUUUUGCACUAGUAGCCUAUGGCAUUUUCCCAGUAUUAAACUUCAUGAUUUUCAGAAAUCCGCUAGAGUAAUUAUAUAGUCAAUAUGAAGGAUGAUCUUGUGGAUAAGGCGCUGGAAAGGGCUUCAGGAGAACUGGGUUCAUUUCCUGCUCAACCACAGAUUUUCUUUUUGACUUUAGGUAAGUCAUGAAUUGUUCUGUGCCUGGGGUCCCUGUGUCUCAAAUGGGGAGAAAUCACCUUCUGACUUCAGAAGGGUAUUGUGAAUCUUUGCAAGGACUCAAAUCUAUAGGGAUGAAGACUAGAUAGAUACACCCCAAAAGUAUCCAGGAGCAAUUGUGCAUCUUCAACCUCAAGCUAAAGAUUUUAGAAUGUUUUUAAACCACUUCCUUAGUGAUGGAGUUUUGAAGCUAUUAGUUUAUGGAAGCUGUUUAUGGGAAUCUCUAAGAUUGACUUUGAAAGUCCAGUUGAGUACAGAUCCUAAACAACUUUCUACCUUGAGUCUUUCCUUGACCUUUUGAAUAUUUCCUUAUAAUGUUUAUUCCUCUGCCAAUAAUACCUGCUUUACAGUGUCUUAUUUAUUCCAUAAGGGCACAUGCAUGACUGCCUUAAGCAAUUUAGCUCUCCUUUGCCUGCUUAUUGAAAUAGUUGUACAUAUUUUUUUUCAAACAAUGAACAGAAAUACAGUAGAACAAACUGCAAUAGAUUGGUUGGCCUUAGAAAGGAGAUACUACAUCUUACUCAACUGUGAGUUUGUAGCAUAGACUACAGUGUGAUGGUGGCUUUUGGUGCCACUGCCAUGGCAUGGGUUGCUGAGGAAGUUCAACCUUUUUUGAGAGAGAGAGCUAAUGCUAGUGUAUGUUGCCAUGAAAAAACAGUUAUUACAUCCUGGCAUUUUGUGUCCAUUUUAAUGUUGUACAGAAAUACAUAUAAAUAUAUAUUUAUCUGAUGCCCAGUAUUCAUAGCACAUGAAGAAUAUCAAAGAAGGAAUAAAAUCAUAUAUUGGAGUACAAAAUAUGUCUGUUGCUAAAAUGGUCCUUUCUCAAGGUUACUAUUUUUAAUCAUAAUUUGAAAGUAGUUGGGAGGGGUAGAAAUAAUCACUCUUUGGGAUGUUUAAGAGAUGAAAACACCCUGCUUUUAAGGGCUAGUUGUUUAGGCGUGUAUGUGUGUAUGUGAGAGAGAGUGUUUGUGUAAAUACCAUUUGCAUGAGUUUAUUUAAAUGUAAAGGCAAAAUAAAUAUAUUUAUUUUCAUUGUAUUAAAGCACAGAAUGGCUGCAUUUUUCAAAACCUGUAACCUUAAGUCAGAAAAUAUACCAUGGUAAUUUACUGUAUUUUGCCUUUAUUUUUUUUCACAGAAUUUAUAAUACUGUUCUAUCUGGGUAUUUUACUUUUCAUUUAUUUUCCAAAAUAAAUUUUUUCCUGUGUUUUACCUACAUGCAUUCUUUAGAGAUCUAUGCAGAUUCUUUUAAAGUGCUGGAGACUGCAGAGUCCCAUUUUAGCAUUUUGGUAAUGUGUUACUAAAAGACAAGGAAGAAGGGCCAGAGCAAUGCCUAGUUCUCUCAGGAAUUAUAGGGUAUACCCACAAUCUCUAUUCCCCUAGAAAUAUCCUCACUUCUUUCAUAGAUUCAUAGAAAACCAGAAGGGACAUUGUGAUCAUUCUGUGCAACACAGGUCAUAGAAAUUAUCCAGAAUAAUUCCCACAGCAGGUCAUUUAGAAAAAUAUCCAGUCUUGAUUUAAAAACUGUCAGUGAUGGAGAAUCCACCACUACUCUUGCUAAUUUGUUAUAGUGUUAAAAAUAUACGCCUUAUUUCCAGUGUGACUUUGUCUUGCUGCAACUUCCAGCCAUUGGAGCCUGUUAUACCUGUCUCUGCUAGAUUGAUGAAUCAAGUCUUCUCUCCCCUCCCCCUUAACCUUCUCUUUGUUCAGCUAAAUAGAUUGAGCUCUGAGAGUCCAUCACUGUGAAGGCAUAUUUGCUGAGCCAUUAAUCAUUCUUGUGGAUCUUCUCUGAACUCUCUAAAGUAUAAUAACAUUUUUUUAUGUAUUCAUUCUUGAAGGAGACUGCUUUCCAGUGUUCCCACCAGGGUAGUGCAGCUCUGUACAACCCCUUACUAGGAAGAGUUUGCACCAUCAAACCCUUUAUGAUUUGUCCCUUGGAAAGUUAGGGUGUUGUUAUAAACUGGGUGAAAUUUUGUGAUGUGCUAAAUUAAAACCCCAUGGAACCUGAUAGUUGUGAACUUGCCCUUCACUGUAAGCCUAAGCCCUUGCCUAAGACAAAAGUGUAUGUGCACUUACCCAGGCUCUUUUGAUUAAAUACUGUUUGGGGGCAGAAGUUAACCCUGUUACAAAAUGUCAUAGUUGGUAGACUCCAACACCCCCUACCACCAAGAAGCAAUGGGACUUUAGAAGAGGUAACUGUAAAAGAAGAUGGAGGAAAUUGUCUGCUUAUUAGCAGAAUAGCAAUUAAAGACUGGAACUCUCCUACAACUUGUAUAGAGUCAAUAAAAGCAGCAGGCAAUACAUCUAGGGAGCCAUCUAGGGAGAUUGGAGUCCCCUCUCAAAGACAAAGACAAGCCCCUCUGAGGUAUGUUUCCCAUGCAGGUCAGAAGAUUGUAGGUAGAAUACUUGCCCUAUUGAAGAUUGGCACUGGGGGAAGGGCAUAUGAUGGAUGGUGAGAAAAGACAAACGUUUGGAACAGCCCAUCAAACUCUUGUGUAGUAUAUAAUUGGUUAUCUGGAUUUUGUAAGCCCCUCUAUGUGAAAAGGGACAGGAAAAGCACUACACACAGAAACAACAGAUAUUUUAGAUCAGGGUACCAGACUACCCAAUUGGGAUGUUAAAAUGUGUAUGAGGGUAUAUCUACACAGCAAAGUUAUUUUGAAAUAACAGCCCUUAUUUUGAAAUAACUUUCCUAGCGUCUACACAGCCAAACUGCUAUUACGAAAUAAAUUCAAAAUAGAGGAGCACUUAUUUCAAAUUUGGUAAACUUCAUUCUACAAGGAAUAACGCAAAAUUCAAAAUAGCUUAUUUUGAAAUAACGCUGUAGUGUAGACAUACCCCAACUGAUUAACUCUAUAACAGCUGAAAAUUCCAGCUGUAUUAUGGUUACAUGCAUAUUAUGGUUACAUUAUUUUACAAAUAAGAUACAGUGGCAGCCCACUCCCUGGGAGCAGGUGCAUGCAGGGAGCUGACUUUUAAUCUGGCUCUCCAUGUAUACUGACUCCCAACUGCUGCUCCCUGAGGCAGCAGUGUAGGGAGGCAGCAGCUUCCUAGGAGCCAGACCAGGAGCUGUGUGUAGCCAUGUUGCUGUUUGGGUAACCAAUAAGCAUAAGCCUAUCAGUUACCAAUAUAAAAGACUAUAUGCUUAUAUCCUGGCUACCCAAAGAGGAUGGGCGCAAGCUAAAUGACAGAAGUUGUGCCAAAGUUAUCUGAGGAACUCCAAACAGAAAUAAAUCCUGGGAAGCAUGUGUGAGUCCAGGCAAUAGUCACAAUGCAAACUGGGGCCCAAGGGGAGAAAGCUGGUACCCAAAUGGUGCACCAGAGGGCUGCUAUAAAGACCCUGAUGACAGGAGGAGGGGAAGGAGUGGCCACUCAAAUGGGUAACUGUGAGGUAAAAGGAGAAAUGUGAGUAGCUCAAGCAAUUUUCAGAGAACAAUUGGCUGAGGAAUGACCAGCAAUCUUAGAUGCAAGAGGUUGUCUGCUAAUAAAGGUGAGCGAACUGGAAUUGGAGCUGGAGCGUCUGGGAACCCAGGCCAUUCAGGAAUGUAGCCAGCCACACCAAUGAAAUGGCUAUUGGGAAAAGGGUAUUCCCUCUAGGAGUCUGUUGGCAAAGUUCUAAAGGGGGCAUGAUAUAUAACAGGUUGGCUUAUCCUAUGGGCUGGAGUUUAGCCAGUCAGUUCUAAUAAAAAGGGGAGAGCCCCAGAUAGCUGCAGCUAUGCUGUUGGAUACCCCUCCGGGAGGACCAUGACAAGCAGGAGAUUGCUUGUGGGGGGACCCUUACUGUGUUUAGGAUCAGAUGUCAGAAGUCCAGGGAGUUGGACCUGGGAGAUCAGACCACAAUGGAAGAGCUAAGGACUUUUUAUUUGUGUUGUUAAAAUGUUGUUGUUUGGUUCUAAUAUUAAACUCCCCCAAACUGAGGUAUUUUUAACCAGAGAGAGCCUCCUAGGAGUUCUUAAAGGUCUCUGAAGUGAGGAAAGACAGAGGUGGGAAGCCUGCAGCGAUACCCCUGGUCAAGAGGGAAUGCUCACUGAGCAACAGUCCUAUUACAGAACUGUAAGGUAAGAAACUGCUCCUUGUGUUCAUGGUUUCUUCUGCAUUUAGAUACACAAGAUUUUGUAUGUUUCUUGUAAAUAAACAAGAUGGCAUCUCAGAAAUAGCAGGGUUCCAUCAAUUUCUACUUGACUUGAAUAAGACUGAAUAUUUACAACAGUUUUCUAUUCCAGUUUGAAUUCAUAGUGGCAAAGUCAGACUUUCCCAGCCUAAAUAAUGCAACAGCCUCACUAUCGUUGAAGUGAAUACACCCUGGGGAGCAUAGGUAAUGGAAGUACCAUUGCCGCACUCCAGCUCGAAGUGAUUUCCAUUAUGUACAGGGUUUACACUUUGGUUCAAUGGCUCUCAGUGCCCCCACUAUAAAAAUUGUUUCCAUACCCGUGCCUGGGAGGCUUAGUUGGCUCAAUUCAACAUGAUAAUCUCAAAUGAAUGGCUGGGAAGGACAGAAAGGGGGUUUUCUAAUAGCCAGCUUGGUGGCCCAGCACUGAUAGUGCCGCAGAACUUACUUCUAAGCAGAGCUGCUGAUGAGGAUGCAAAGGGGGCAGUUGCCACAGGACCCAGCAAUUUUCAGGGGCCCUGAGCUCUGGACCCCUUUAAAUUGCCCCCAGAACCCUACACAGUGCUGUCCAGGUGUCACUGAGGGCUGAGUUGGGGAGGCACAGUGUGGUACAGGUAGCACUGAGGUCUGGCUUCUCCUAGCCCCGUUCCUUCCGCCUGAGGCCAUCCCCCUUCCAAAGACCCAAGGCCAAGACCCACCCCCAGGUCCAUCACCGGCCCUGCCCCUAGGAAAGAGAUAGUGUUAUCCAGAACUGAUAAAAGGUCUUGAAUUGCAGUUUGGAGCUUGCUAUCUAUCUCAGCUGGCCAGCACACAGCUAAGUGCUAGAAGAGGUAAAGAAGAAGCUCCAAUCUGAACUGGAAGAGGACCUAAGGAAGACAGUUGUGUUCCUGGCAUUCUCUGGAGCCUUCCAGAUAGGGUGACAAUGGACUAAUUUAUAGACAUUCAUCUCAACUUGCAGAUCCAGAUCAAUGAAAGGAGAUUAAAGACACUUGGAGAAGUUGGGGAAUUUUGCCACAGAAAUUGAAUCUUUUCUUGUAGCAGUGUGACAGAAGAAGAAACAGCUGCUAGUGUGGAAGAUGAGCACCAUGUGCCUUAGGCCCAAAACUGAAUGGACAUAGACACUGCACUAAUUCUUGAUAACUGAAAGUAAUCCCUCCAGGGUAAGCUGGCGGAAGCUGUGUGGGGACGCUUGUGUGGCUGGGUCUCUUGCAGUGUCCUAUUUUGUGGAGGUUGACAGGAGCAAACACUCCCAUCAGCUUCCCUUACUCCUUGUGAAGAGCAGAAGUACCAGUGCUGAUGGAGGCGCCUCUCCAUUUGAUUUAGCGGGUCUAUACUAGAUCGAACUCCAAGGAUCGACAAUGGCAGCAUUGAUCUUCCGAAUCAUCUAGACAUGGUCUUAUGCAUAUGAAUAAUUUUUUUGAUUGGAGGAGUCUCUUGCCUUCCAUGCAUGAAGGGCAAACAUCAAGCCUCAUACUUCAAACUCUCUGCACUAUGCAAGAGGAUCGAUCACAGGAUGCUGGGGGCAACUGGAUUUGUACCAACACAGAUCUCCCUUAAGAUCUGUAGGUUUCUAUUCCUGUCUUAUUCAAUAGCUUCAUGACUAUAAUAUGCAGAAGACAUAUACAAUUCUCUUAGUCAUGCUCACUCUUCAGUGACAUCAUUUAAAUAAACAACUUUGGUAUCAAUAAA